AAGACUGAAGAUAUAACUGCCUCCAUCCUUUAAUUUAUUUAUUUCUACGUUGAGGACACUUUAUAAACCUACAGAGAUACCGGACCAACGAACGACCUUCACAACGGGACGGAGCUAACGUAAUUAACGUUAACGGUUACUUGGAAAUUCAAACAGUAACGGUCAUCUGACAACUGCGCUGAGCCAAAGGACGGGAACAGCAACAAGAGUUUAACUUCUGAUUCGUAAUCUACACACUCUACUGGGCAGUUCAUGAAGACAGAUAGAUGUUGUGCCGACAAGGACAGUUCCUCCUACCACACCAGACUUUGCUGUAUAUGGAUGCCUGACCACUAGCACUGGACAUUUACAACAUUUUGGCGCCAGGGAUCCCUUGCAGAGAAGAUUUUUCAAAGACACCCUCAGAAUUACAACAGAUUUUAAGGCUUAAAAUUAUUGUGGGUGGGAGUAUAAUGAACAUAAUAUGAUUGUUUUAUUUUAUUAUUAUUAUUUAUUUUUAAAUAGUUCCAAUUUUUUAAUAAUACAUUUGUUUAAUAAUACAGCACAAUAUAGGGCUAAGUUGCACCAGGUCAGGAGAAAAAACACAUAAGUUGCAUCCGUGUAUAAGACACAUUUUACUAUUAAUUUCAGAAAUAAUUUAAAUACUGAUAAAUAAAACAAACGUUAAGAAACUUAAAAACUAUGAACACUGUAAAGAUUUUAUUUUCCCUCACUUCAAAUCAUUUAAAUUGAAUACUAUUCAAAACAGAAUAAAAAAUAAAAAUAUUUAGGCCUAUGUAUAAAAUAAAAAAAAUUCUGGUGCCAUUAUUUACAAGCAGUAUAUCUUUUGUUAAUUAAAAUGCACUUGCUAUCUCAGUUUCUGUGAACCUCAUUCUGAAAUGUAGAAAACACAGUGGUACAGACAAUACCACUGUGUACAGACAGGCUUGUCACA